rnacentral:rRNA from 1 species
GAUGAACGCUGGCGGCGUGCCUAAUACAUGCAAGUCGAGCGAACAGACGAGGAGCUUGCUCCUCUGACGUUAGCGGCGGACGGGUGAGUAACACGUGGAUAACCUACCUAUAAGACUGGGAUAACUUCGGGAAACCGGAGCUGAUACCGGAUAAUAUAUUGAACCGCAUGGUUCAAUAGUGAAAGACGGUUUUGCUGUCACUUAUAGAUGGAUCCGCGCCGCAUUAGCUAGUUGGUAAGGUAACGGCUUACCAAGGCAACGAUGCGUAGCCGACCUGAGAGGGUGAUCGGCCACACUGGAACUGAGACACGGUCCAGACUCCUACGGGAGACAGCAGUAGGGAAUCUUCCGCAAUGGGCGAAAGCUUGACGGAGCAACGCCGCGUGAGUGAUGAAGGUCUUCGGAUCGUAAAACUCUGUUAUUAGGGAAGAACAAAUGUGUAAGUAACUAUGCACGUCUUGACGGUACCUAAUCAGAAAGCCACGGCUAACUACGUG